rnacentral:rRNA from 1 species
AUUGAACGCUGGCGGCAGGCCUAACACAUGCAAGUCGAACGAGUGGCGGACGGGAGAGUAAUGUCUGGGAAACUGCCGGAUGGAGGGGGAUAACUACUGGAAACGGUAGCUAAUACCGCAUACCAUCGGAUGUGCCCAGAUGGGCUUAGCUAGUAGGUGGGGUAAAGGCUCACCUAGGCGACGAUCCCUAGCGGGUCUGAGAGGAUGACCAGCCACACUGGAACUGAGGCACGGUCCAGACUCCUACGGGAGGCAGCAGUGGGGAAUAUUGCACAAUGGGCGCAAGCCUGCUGCAGCCAUGCCGCGUGUAUGAAGAAGGCCUUCGUGUUGGAAAGUACUUUCAGCGGCGACGCGUUACCCGCAGCAGAAGCACCGGCUAACUCCGUGCCAGCCGCCGCGGUAAUUC